rnacentral:rRNA from 1 species
GACGAACGCUGGCGGCGUGCUUAACACAUGCAAGUCGAACGGAAUGGCCCUGCUUUUGUGGGGUGCUCGAGUGGCGAACGGGUGAGUAACACGUGAGUAACCUGCCCUUGACUUUGGGAUAACUUCAGGAAACUGGGGCUAAUACCGGAUAGGAGCUCCUGCUGCAUGGUGGGGGUUGGAAAGUUUCGGCGGUUGGGGAUGGACUCGCGGCCUAUCAGCUUGUUGGUGGGGUAGUGGCUUACCAAGGCUUUGACGGGUAGCCGGCCUGAGAGGGUGACCGGCCACAUUGGGACUGAGAUACGGCCCAGACUCCUACGGGAGGCAGCAGUGGGGAAUAUUGCACAAUGGGCGGAAGCCUGAUGCAGCAACGCCGCGUGCGGGAUGACGGCCUUCGGGUUGUAAACCGCUUUCGCCUGUGACGAAGCGUGAGUGACGGUAAUGGGUAAAGAAGCACCGGCUAACUACGUG